AAAAGGCAAGAAAAGAAAUAGAGAUUCCAAGUACAAAGAGAGAGCGAUCUCUGAGUUUGGGAGAGCUGGAUUGAGCUGGGAGUAGGAAGAACUGAGUGUG